rnacentral:sRNA from 1 species
GCCCCACAGCCUUGUGCCCUUGGAGCACCGUUUCUCUCCUUCGGUGGGCACCUCUAUUCAGCUCACAGGAUUGUGCUCCUUUCCUUAGGGACACACACAGUCCAGACAGUGCCGCGCCACGUGGCUCUGCAGUGUUCGUGAACAGGAAUUGCACGGAACUGAAUGCCCGGGAUCCCAGCUGAAACUAAGGAUGAAAACCGAAGAAGAGGCCCGGAUUCAUACGGAGAUUGAAAUGUUCCUUAGAAAGGAGCAGCAGAAACUUGAGGAGAGGCUAGAGUUCUGGAUGGAGAAAUAUGAUAAGGACACAGAAAUGAAACAGAAUGAACUAAAUGCUCUCAAAGCCGCAAAGGCCAGUGACUUAGCACACCUUCAAGACCUGGCAAAGAUGCUCCAGGCCUGGUGGCGAGGCACUAUGAUACGGAGAGAAAUUGGUGGUUUCAAGAUGCCUAAAGACAAAGUUGAUAGCAAGGAUUCAAAAGGCAAAGGUAAAGGCAAGGAUAAGAGGAGAGGCAAGAAGAAGUGACCAAGUUCUCUUCUGUGUUUUCCGCUGGUAUUCUGGAGGGGGAAGGACUUGGAGAGAGUUAAGAAACACCUGGUACCUCAAAGAUGACUCAUCUACAGGUUGUUUCCUAUUGAGACUUUCCCAGGGAAGCCUGAUUUCACUCGGGCUGUUAAUUUCACUCGGGCUGUUAAUUUCACUUGGCCUGUUAAUUUCACUCUGCCUG